rnacentral:rRNA from 1 species
CGGGUGAGUAACGCGUGAGGAACCUGCCUCAAAGAGGGGGACAACAGUUGGAAACGACUGCUAAUACCGCAUAAGCCCACGGCUCGGCAUCGAGCAGAGGGAAAAAGAGCAAUCCGCUUUGAGAUGGCCUCGCGUCCGAUUAGCUAGUUGGUGAGGUAACGGCCCACCAAGGCGACGAUCGGUAGCCGGACUGAGAGGUUGAACGGCCACAUUGGGACUGAGACACGGCCCAG